rnacentral:lncRNA from 1 species
UGGAUCCAAGAACCGAGGAAGUAAAAUUAAAAGAAAAAGAACCCAGACAGAUCAAAUUCAUACAGAUCUUAGCGAACUUGGAGUAGCCCGCAAGAAAACCUCGUUACCAGUUGGUGGAAAGAAAUGUGAAGCUUUCUGUCUCCUCUGGGUAAAAGAGGAUUUAUG